rnacentral:rRNA from 1 species
GACAGCGGGUGCAAACGUUGAUCGGAAUCACUGGGCGUAAAGCGCGUGUAGGCGGACCAGAAAGUCAGGUGUGAAAUCCCUGGGCUCAACCCAGGAACUGCAUCUGAAACUUCUGGUCUGGAGUGUCGGAGAGGGAAGCGGAAUUCCGGGUGUAGAGGUGAAAUUCGUAGAUAUCCGGAGGAACACCGGUGGCGAAGGCGGCUUCCCGGACGAUUACUGACGAUGAGACGCGAAAGCGUGGGGAGCAAACAGG